GGAAGGAGUUCAUUAUUAUUCUCUGAAGUCAUCAGGGAGCACCAAGAGGGUGGGAUUUCAGGAAGUAUUUAAAUGAAAGGAGACACAUGGCUUGGCACAGUGAGAGGGAGGUUUUCCAGGCUUCCUGUGCUGUCUUGGGGACCUGCUCAGAGGCUGGACCACGUCAUGCUCAGAAGGCCCUGUUUUCUUUAGACGCUGACUCCUGCUGUCCACCAGAUCCUCGUGGUGCAAUGACUGGUGUAGACUGGCUUGUUGAAGUCACUCUCUGGAUCUGAGCAACGUUGGCUGAGCCGUGAUGAAGUACUCC
rnacentral:lncRNA from 1 species